ACUCCUACGGGAGGCAGCAGUGGGGAAUUUUGCGCAAUGGGCGAAAGCCUGACGCAGCAACGCCGCGUGGGUGAUGAAGGUCUUCGGAUCGUAAAACCCUGUCGUCGGGGACGAAGGUGGAGGGGUUAAUAGCCUCUUUGCUUGACGGUACCCGGAGAGGAAGCCCCGGCUAACUCUGUGCCAGCAGCCGCGGUAAUACAGAGGGGGCAAGCGUUAUUCGGAAUUAUUGGGCGUAAAGGGCGCGUAGGCGGCUUUUUAAGUGAGAUGUGUAAUCCCUGAGCUCAACUUGGGAACUGCAUCUCAUACUGGGAGGCUAGAGUACUGGAGAGGGUGGUAGAAUUCCACGUGUAGCGGUGAAAUGCGUAGAGAUGUGGAGGAAUACCAGUGGCGAAGGCGGCCACCUGGACAGUAACUGACGCUGAGGCGCGAAAGUGUGGGUAGCAAACAGGAUUAGAUACCCUGGUAGUCCACACUGUAAACGAUGAACACUUGGUGUGGAGGGAGUUGACCCCUUCCGUGCCGUAGCUAACGCGUUAAGUGUUCCGCCUGGGGAGUACGGUCGCAAGGCUGAAACUCAAAUGAAUUGACGG
rnacentral:rRNA from 1 species